UACGUAGGGUGCAAGCGUUGUCCGGAAUUAUUGGGCGUAAAGAGCUCGUAGGCGGUGUGUCGCGUCUGCUGUGAAAACUCAGGGCUCAACUCUGAGCUUGCAGUGGGUACGGGCACACUAGAGUGCUGUAGGGGAGACUGGAAUUCCUGGUGUGAGCGGUGAAAUGCGCAGAUAUCAGGAGGAACACCGGUGGCGAAGGCGGGGUCUCUGGGCCGAUACUGACGCUGGAGGAGCGAAAGCGUGGGGAGCGAACAGG
rnacentral:rRNA from 1 species